rnacentral:piRNA from 1 species
ACCUGACACAUACACCAAACACACAAC